GCUGACACAUCCCUGCCAAUCUCUGGCAGACCCUCCCUCCCAGACCCUCCUACUUCCUGGACAGCAUCCAUGUUGAAGGCAGCUUCAACAUGGAUGCUGUCCAGGAGGUGGGAGGGUCUGGGAGGGAGGGUCUGCCGGAGAUUGGCAGGGAUGUGUCAG